rnacentral:lncRNA from 1 species
UCCUCCCCAGCCAGAAUCCGAAUAUUAAGCUUAAAGAAAAUCAUUUCUAUCUGAAUCUCCAUCCGCCGCAUUUGAAUCAGAGGUGCGACAGGUGUAAACUCUUAUAUGAUAUAGGAAUUUGGGUUUGGAUUUAAGAUUGCGUUUUCAUUCAAAUUAAAAUUAAAAUUAAAACUAAAGAUUAAACUGAAAUCUAAAAUUAUAAUUAGAAACUGUUUUUUUCUGUGAAAUAUGGAUUAAAAAACUAAUUUCUUUUAAUUGAUGCCUAUAAUUCUUCCCUUCUCUCGAAAUUCGUAGCUCUAAAUCCAUAAUUAAGCCUGUUAAUUAGUACCAAGAUCACAAACAUCAUUUAACAGUAGUUGUGUAUUUUGGUAAAAAGAAUAUACAGUGAGUAGAGUACUGAACCCAGAAGCAAUAACACAAGUAGUAUCAACAUAUAAUGCUUACAUAGGAAGCAGGUAGAUUUGGAAGCAUAAGAACCUUAAAAUGAGUUGGUUCUGGCAAAAAAGGAAAAGAAAGCAUAAGAACGUUGAGACAUACACAUACAAGUAGUGUUUGUUUCAAACUUGGAGUGUUCUGGUUUUUUAAUUAUAAUCUUGGCAGGGCACGAGGCUGAACGCGAGGAGCGUCCCAGUCUGUGGCAAUGUGGUCACGGGUGAUUUCCUUGAGUGAGCGGCACCCACUUAAGGCCAUGGUUAGCUCAAACUCGUCGCGGAGCAUCUGCAGCACUUUUCUCACACCAGUCUCUCCUUCAGCAGCCAAGGCAUACACCACAGGGCGUCCAAUCUGACAUACACCAAAAUUUGUUACGAGCAAUUCUAUGGUGGACCAAGUUAAAAACAGGUCAAUCCGUGUAAUAUGUUUUUACUACCAACAUUUUAGUACAUGUUAUAUAAUGUAUAUUCUUCUUAUGAGUUAAAAUUAAUUUAUAAACAAUUUUUUAAACUUAAGAACCAGAUUUUCUUGUUUCUUCUAGAUAUAGAGCAGCUAUUCAGUAUAAUUAUGGGUAGACACCUAAGUGGAGCGGUAAAAUUACUCUAAUUUUAAGUGCCCAAUAAUAUUUUAGCAUGUGUGAUGAGUUAUAAGUUUUUAAGACCAGUGUCAAAAUAUUAUUGACGAUCUAAGUUAGGAUGAUGGUAACCAAAGUAAGACCUCAUAUCAAGAACUAAGAAUGAAUUUUCAGAAGAGGUUUAUGAUGUACUCACAAAUAUGCCAGAAGCACCAAGUGCCAAUGCCUUGAAGACAUCAGUUCCACGGCGAACACCACCAUCCAAAAACACAGGAAUACGGCCUUGAGCAGCUUUAACAACCUAAGUUAUUUCAACAAUACAAAGUAUAUAAAUAAAGAUCCUUAGAAUAAAUUAAUUUCAAGCUGAUUGAGAUGGAUGUAACAUGAAGUUAAUUUAUGUACCUCUUCUAAGGCACUUAUGGUGGCUGGGACAUAAUCAAGUUGUCUAGCUCCAUGGUUGGACACUAUUAUUCCAGCUGCACCACUUUGUACCGCUAUCCUUGCUGCCAAAUUCAGUUCAAGAAGACAUUAAUCAAAUAUUCAAUCAAAGAUUAAUAAGAGAUGAAAACAGGUUUUUUUUCCUUACUGUCCUCAGCAGUCAGUACACCCUUCACCAGAAUUGGCAGCUUGGUGAUUGUCUGGAGCCACUUCACAUCCUGUAUAAUCAAUAGAGUGAGAUCAGCUAUACUGGCUCCAGUGCGCUCUAUCAAACCAAAUUUUGUGGGAUACUAUUGACCAAAGGCCGCUUUUAACAUUAUCUUCCAAUGUUCUUUAUUGUUUUAUUGACUCCUUCUUAUCGGUGCCUCUAAAUGUGGUUCUUUGUACAUGUCUGUAUCAUCUUAACCGAUUGAUCAAAUUGAGCUUUAUUAUUCUACACUCUUUUCUGCACUAUGCAGGAGUAUUCUUUGUCUAAUGUCAGCAUGCAUACAACUUAUGAACCAAAUCAAUUAUCUAUGUAAGUAUAUUUGUCACUUGGAUUUCAAUAUAAUGAAACUUUGUCUGCC